UUGAAGAUGGAGUACGCACUGCCACUUAUCUAUCUACUCUGCUAACCUAUUUCUUAAAGUUGGUGAGUAUUGCUGCUGCUGUUGCUUCUUCUAAAUGGAACCCACAGGAUACUUUGCACCAACUUUGACCAGUCUUCCACCAACCCAUUGCUUCAGAUGGUGGGGGCAGGACCCAAGGACAAGUGGGUCUUUAGAAGGGACAGGUGGACCUCCUGAUUCCUUUGUGCAUGGGUCUAUAAUUAGUUCCCAACGCACUAUGGAGGUGGCUCUGAAAUUUUGACAAAGUAAUCUAAAACCUGACUUUGCUUUAGAACUCCAAACACUACCAAUUAUGAAAAAGAGCUGUAAAUGGUAUAAAUCAUGCAACCAUCCUGGUCUGGUGAUUUUGACUUACACAUCUUGUGUGGUCUUUUUAGUUUUGAGUUUUCAUCAGUUGAACAGUUUACACAGUUUUCAUAGAACUGUCAUUUAAUUUGGGGAAAUUAGUAAUAGCCUUGAGCAUAUUUAUCUCGCUCGGUUCUUGACUUAAAGCUUCCUCUGUCCUUUUUUGGUGACAUAUCUGAGAAUUCAGUUAGGCUUGUGUCUUGAGAAGAAUUUCUUCAUUAGCCUACCAAUAACUGUUCUGUAUGGUUCGAAAGAUAAUUUAUGUUUAAUGGUGUUUGUUUUAAAAAUUACACUGUAUAAUUCUGUACUUUUUUCUUUAAGUCUUAAAAAGUACCUUAGGUAACAUGCUUUCAAGGUAUUUUUGAAAGAGCUGUGUUUCUGACAAAAUAAGCAAUAGCAGUCAUAAUGAGAGUAAUGCCACUUGCACAAAAACAGUGUCUUUAUAUUGAUUUCAGCAUCUUUCUCACCACUUUCAUUAAUCAACUUACAGUGACAUUUUAACUGAAUGUUUUUAAGGGCUGAUAUUAAUAACACAACACCCUUUAAAAUUUUCUUUCUUAAAUAAUUCUGUUUUCACACAUAUAAAACAUGGUCAGUGCUUUACUUCCUUUCCAGGUUGACAUUUCAAUAAUUUAGAGAGCUGUGAAAUUGUUCUUUGUCUCCAGAUUGACUGAAGACUCGUGUGACUGUGGAUCGUGUGUAUAUAUAUAUCAAUUCAGUUUCAUCCUUUGCUUUGUGGAUUAUGUUUGGAGCUAGUUUAGGGAGUCUGGAUAGCUCAGUACUAGUUUGUCUUCCUUAAGUGAUCAAUUUCAGUUAAAUUAUUGCUGCUUUAAAAGAUGGCCCUAUGCUAUUUCAUGUUUCCAGUGACUGAUGGUGGAGAAACAUUGAGGGCUUUUUCAGGCUGUCACAUAGCAACUUGAUAUUUUGUGCUAUAGCUUCUGAUUUUCCUUCUAAACCACACAUAGGGGAAAAAACUGUACAAGUUCUUAGGAUUUUAUGAUCAUGCUUAUUUGCCUUCUAUUUAUUUUUGUUUUGUUUUAAAAGGGCCCAUCCACUACUCUUGGCUUUAGUCAGGAACCCUUUUAUCUGUUCAACCUUGCUAGUAAGUACUUGUUCUUAUUUUGUGUUCUACCAUCUUCAAGUAACAGUCAAAUAUAUAUUUCAGGACUAUUGUUGUAUAUAUUUUCUAUGCAAGCCACAAAUGCAGUGGCCAGGUGGUAAUAAACACUCAACACAGUUUCUUCUAUAAAGGAUCUGUGAAUUUUGUAAAUCAUGUGGUAUCUGGUCAUAUAUUAAGCACUCAGAGUAUGUAUUGAAUAAAUAAAGCUAUAAUAUGGUCUUAGGUUUUUGUUACUUCGAGUUCAUGUUAGUAUUGUCUUGUAUUCUUAUAGUUACAUACCCAUAACUAACUCAGUAAUAUAUCACCUCAUUGCUUGACCUAUUUACAACUUUAAAUUUAUGUUGGAAAAAAAAAAAAGAAUUGAAGGAAGAAAAGAUGGCUUGGAAAAUAACAUUUUGGCUCUUCUCUCUCUUGGAUUGGUAGGUUGACACUCCUGGCCAUGGACUUAAUAUUUAUUUUCCCCAAGAAUUCAUAUGUUACAAUAUUAAUCCCCAAUGUAAUGGUAUUAGGAGGUGAGGCCAUUGGGAGUUGAUUAGGUCAUGAGGGUGGAGGUCUCAAGAAUGAGAUUGGUGCCCUUGUGAGGAGAACCAUGAAGAGCUUGCAUCACCUGUUUGUUCUCCACCAUGUGAAAAUACAGGGAGAGGAUGCAAGCUAGGAAGGGUGCUAUCACCAGACACUGGAUCUGCAGCCCCCUUAGUCUAGGACUUUAUAGUUUCCAGAACUGUGAGAAAUAAAUGUUUGUUGUUUAAGCCAGCCAGUCUAUGGUAUUCUGGUACAGCAGCCUGAACUGACAGCACUUCAUCAUCUGUAAAUUAUCUCUGCAACUAAACUCCUUCAUAGCAGAAAUGCCCUUUAGAGAGUUUCAGGUGUCAUAAUUAAGCUCAAACUAGAUGGCUAUUUUUGCAGCUGCUACAAAAUGGUAUAUGAGGCUUUUGCUCUUUCCUAAAGAAUGAAAUACAAAAUUUAGCAACUUUGGGUAUAUGAAAGUAAUAUAAAAGAGACAUGGAAAGGAUGGAGGCUAGGAACCAUGAGGUUACAGUUUCGAUCCCUGGCCUCACUCACCCUGGGUUAAGGAUCCGGGGGUGCCGUGAGCUGUGGUGUAGGUCACAGAUGUGGCUUGGAUCUGGCAUUGCUGUGGCUGUGGUGUAGGCUGGCAGCUGUAGCUCUGAUUCAACCCCUAGCCUGGGAGCCUCCACAUGCUGCGGGUGUGGCCCUUUU
ensembl:lncRNA